rnacentral:lncRNA from 1 species
AUGAGCCAAGCACCCAGAACACUGCCCGAGCUCCACAGUCAACAGCUACAGCUAACUGAACGAGACAGCACAGGUCCUCACACCAGGUACCACAAACACAAGGUACCAGAAAAUGCUGUUUUGACUACCUGCCUUCGCAGCGAGCUACACAAGACCGGUCCUCAUCACCCACCGAUCGUCCCACCUGCCCUAAUGCCAACAUUCCUGGGCAGCCCUGUCAAAAAGGGGGUGGGUCAAAAAGGAGUCAACAGGGAAGACCUGAUCGACACAGGAUUAAACCUGACGGUGAUCUCAUCUUACCUUUUCAAAAGACUCCAAUUUGAAGCUAAGAGACAAGAUCGAACUCUUACACCUCAAACUUAUGAACUGAAUGUACAGGUGUACAGACAGGAUGACAUCCAGUUUGAACAGGUUGUUUCCAUUCACCUGACAUUCGUUCCGAUGAGUCUAAUACAUCCCAUGUAUGUCCCACCAAUGAACACUCAUACAUUGCUCAUCGACAAAGACCUGCUAGAACACUUUGACCCUUUUCUGAACUUCAAACAGCUAAAAGACUUUGCUCAAGUGCGAGAACCUCUUUCUCUCCAGCCACACAGGUUGCUAGAGCCAGACUGUCAGGUCGCAGAGGUCACGGGAACUCCCACAGAGCCAGACGGUCAGGUCACAGAGGUCACGGGAACCCCAGCAGCCAGCCAUGAGUACAACGCCCUAACAACAGGCCCAAGUUCAAGCCUCUGUACCUUAAUCAACAAACAGGGUACGGUGGUACCAGCUUACACCAAAGGGGUCGCUGUGCGGCUCAACCUGCAAGGUGGUCAAACCUUACACCACACGCUGGGUUUCUUCCAAUCCUCACCUGAAUGUGUGGAACUCGGACUCACACUUGCAAACAACAAGCAUGUCAAACACCAACACCUGUUCCAGCAAUGUGAUAACAUCACAAAAACACACAAUGUGAUCGUGUACUGGAAGAAGGAAAAAGGACACUCGAAGUUACCAAGUCUAGACGAGGACUUUAAAGAUCACACUGACACCCUUGCCAAAACUGGCACACUAAACAACAUUCUGUGGUCACUCCCAACCCACCCACCCACAUUCACGGUCGAAGUGAUUACACACAGCACAAGAACUUUACUAGCUAAACUGCCUACCUCAGAAUCGCUUACGCAGGCUCCGUUGUCUACACAGACCAACAUAGCGGACAUGCGGGCUUCUGAAACCUUGAUAAUGACUUUACCACCUCUCAGACCCCUCCAUCCACCCUGGCAACCAGUCUACAGUCACUGA